GAGCGUAGACGGGAGAUUAAGUCAGUUGUGAAAGGCUGCGGCUCAACCGCAGCACUGCAGUUGAUACUGGUUUCCUUGAGUGCGGUUGAGGUGUAUGGAAUUUGUGGUGUAGCGGUGAAAUGCUUAGAUAUCACGAAGAACUCCGAUUGCGAAGGCAGUACACUAAGCCGUAACUGACGUUGAGGCUCGAAAGUGUGGGUAUCAAACAGGAUUAGAUACCCUGGUAGUCCACACGGUAAACGAUGAAUACUCGCUGUUGGCGAUAUACAGUCAGCGGCCAAGCGAAAGCAUUAAGUAUUCCACCUGGGGAGUACGCCGGCAACGGUGAAACUCAAAGGAAUUGACGGGGGCCCGCACAAGCGGAGGAACAUGUGGUUUAAUUCGAUGAUACGCGAGGAACCUUACCCGGGCUUAAAUUGCACUGGACAGGCCAAGAGAUUGGCUCUUCUUCGGACCAGUGUGAAGGUGCUGCAUGGUUGUCGUCAGCUCGUGCCGUGAGGUGUCGGCUUAAGUGCCAUAACGAGCGCAACCCUUGCCAUUAGUUACUAACAGGUCAUGCUGAGGACUCUAGUGGGACUGCCAUCGUAAGAUGUGAGGAAGGUGGGGAUGACGUCAAAUCAGCACGGCCCUUACGUCCGGGGCUACACACGUGUUACAAUGGGAGGUACAGAAGGCUGCUACCCGGCGACGGGAUGCCAAUCCCCAAAACCUCUCUCAGUUCGGAUUGGAGUCUGCAACCCGACUCCAUGAAGCUGGAUU
rnacentral:rRNA from 1 species